rnacentral:lncRNA from 1 species
UGUCACCACCUACCUGCUUUAUCUCUUUGUCACAUUUUCAUCUCUUUCUACUUCAACUUUCCUUUGAUUCAUCCCCAAAAGCUUUCCCCUAGGCCACUUGGCAGUAUUCCCUCACUAGUCAAAAUCUGGUGGGUCUUUCUUGAGUGAGCUCUCAGAGCUGACCUCCUUUUUUAAGACAUCUAUUUGCAUGCAGGUGGCCAUCGAUGACAUCAAUGGUUUUGCAGUAUUGAGCCACAUUUUGGAUUUUACCUAGAAGAUGUGCAGAAUAUAAAUGUUUUCAUGAGAACAAAAUAUACAGCUGGAUGUUUGUCACAAUUCUAAUGUCCCUGCAAAGAUGAGAUGCAUGAAUCACACAGCAAUCUCAUCAAAAAGAUGAUGAAACUGUGGCCCAGAAAGUUUAAGGGAUGUGUCAAAUGUCACACAGCUCACAGAUCCAGGGACAUGGCUUAAAUCCAGAUAUCUUGAUUCUAACUUCAGUUGAGGAAGAGAAAGAGUGCUGCCCCACGCUGCCUGAUUUACAACGUGAAGUGAAAUCUUUGAAAAGAAAAAUAAGACAAUGUCACUCAAGCUCUUAUCUGAGGAUUUCCUGGGUUUGAAGACAGAGCUCAAACUCAUACAAGGGGUCAUCUGAGUCUGCAGAUAGGCUUGCUUUAUGCUGCUCCGUCAGAUCUCUUCUAAAGAUUAGUGCGCAAUUCUGGACAUUACAUUUUAAUGGUAACAUGGAUUCAACUAAAGGCCGCAGCAACUUUGCUUUGUACACUCUGUCUCCUGCCAAGAGAGCCCAGGGAAGGUAAUGUCUCCUGGAUCGUAUGAAAUGUUUCUGUAACGGUCACUGUAACUCACACCUUGAUUUUUACCAGGUCGCUGGCAAGUGCGAUGGAUUGUAAUUGCUGCACAUUCAUGAGGGCUUCUCAAGGUUACCCGGGCACAGUGAAUACCAAAAGAAGAAUAAGACGGAGAGCUAUUCCUCAGUGAAGCAGAGUUUACAACCCUUGUUCAUUUUGGCCAAAGGCCAGCUGACUCUAGUUUACCUAACUUUUAGAGAGUUUCAGAAAAAAAAAUGGAAGUAAUAUCCUGCCUUUGAGUAUGGAGACAAAAUUCUAAUAUCAUAAGAGAGUUAUCAGAGGUUAAGGCAGUUAGAAGGGUUCAUUCAUUCAACAUUCAACACAAACUGUGAACACCUAACAUUUGCCAUGUACAAAGAAGGACGUUCUGCCUUGGACUAACAUCCAUUCCUGUGAGGGAAGAGAAGCAGCAGGCCUGGAUGAUGCUGCCGCUUGAAGAAGAAAAUCUUUCUCCUGCCAGAGUCCUGCUUAACCUUAGCUGGGGGAGGUGAUCUUUAACACUAACUAUUAAAGUUUGAGCCCAGAGACUGGUGCUAAUUCACCCUGACCAACCUCUCACACAGCCACAGAAUUCUCCCCUGCACACCAGGGCACCACCACUGGGAGCUGUUGGCAAUAAGGGAGUGGAGAAGGUAGAAUGUGAGAGGCCCUCAGUCAUCCACUCCUCUAGUCAGUAGCCUUCCACUCAUAAAUGGAUAAAAACAAGAGCCAUUUUUAGAUUCAGCAUUUCCUGGGGAGAACAAUUCCAGCCCCAAACUUCAGAUGUCAGCAGAGAACAGUGUGGGCUCUUUAUGUUCCUCAAGAACAUGCACACUGAGCUUCCCCCGCAGCCCCCGAGCACUGCCAGCUGCUGCUGCUGCGAUCCCAGUGUCUGAGUUUGUGACUCGCCGGGAGAUUGUCUGUUCCUGCUGCUUCCAAUAUCGUCUUGGCCUUUAUGAAGGCACAUGCACACGACUGUAGCGGCACCCCUGUCUCCGGCCCAUUGUGGACAUGACUGCUCUUCCAGUGUGGCUCCCCUGUGACAGGCACCUGCUCAGCAACCUACAGAAGCUCCCCCAGCUAUCACAGCUCAAAACUAAAUGUAGACGUGUGACUCUAUGAUACCUUCUGGCUAAAGAUUGCAUCUUUAUCAUCAGAGCAAUAUAUAUCAGGUUGAUUUAUUAACACUCUAUCUCCAAUUGGCUCUAUGCAAUGUGCAGACAAAUAAACACGUAAAUG